UACAGAGGUCUCAAGCGUUGUUCGGAUUCAUUAGGCGUAAAGGGUGCGUAGGUGGCGCUGUAAGUCGGGUGUGAAAUUUCGGAGCUUAACUCCGAAACUGCAUUCGAUACUGCGGUGCUUGAGGACUGGAGAGGAGACUGGAAUUCAUGGUGUAGCAGUGAAAUGCGUAGAGAUCAUGAGGAAGGCCAGUGGCGAAGGCGGGUCUCUGGACAGUUCCUGACACUGAGGCACGAAGGCCAGGGGAGCAAACGGG
rnacentral:rRNA from 1 species